GCGGUUGCUAUCAACAUCUUCACCCAUUGAACGGGCAUGACCAGGAUCCAACAUCCCUGCACUGACGAAGGUGUAUGGCGGACGACAUUCUCUGCUUGGUCUGGACGACUCUUGAUCCGGCUGAUAUCCGACCCCGAACAUGUCUGCUUUUAUCACGAUGUCAAUGAUCCUUCCCCAGCCUUGGGCCUCUUUGUUUCUCACCACUUCCAGAGCUUGUUUAUAAGAAGAAAUGGACAACUUCUUCUCUUUCUCAGC
rnacentral:lncRNA from 1 species